rnacentral:rRNA from 1 species
UACGUAGGGUGCAAGCGUUGUCCGGAAUUAUUGGGCGUAAAGAGCUCGUAGGCGGUCUGUCGCGUCUGCUGUGAAAACUCAGGGCUUAACCCUGAGCUUGCAGUGGGUACGGGCAGACUAGAGUGCGGUAGGGGAGACUGGAAUUCCUGGUGUAGCGGUGAAAUGCGCAGAUAUCAGGAGGAACACCGGUGGCGAAGGCGGGUCUCUGGGCCGUAACUGACGCUGAGGAGCGAAAGCAUGGGGGAGCGAACAGG